GUCUCACUGUCCUUGACCUACGGAUUAUGCAAUAAAUGUAAAUAUAAAAAGAAACCUAUCUUUGACUUUACUUGGAAAUGGAAAUCCAUUUCUUUACACCGUCUAGAACCGGAUUAGCUGCUUUCCUAUCUAUAUCCUUGUUUUAUUUUUAGAACAAAUGUACGUGGUUUCUAGUGGUGAAGAAUAAAAGGAAGCCACUGUGUGUCUCUUCAUUUCGAAGAACUUGCUCCGGGUAUAAGUUGCAAUCUUCUUGCGCAACACAAGACUUUUUUGGAAAGAGGGUCUAAACGAGAAUUGCAGAGUGAUAAUGACCAGUGAGGAGGGUGAAGAAGAAGAAGAUGAUGAUGCGGAUGAAGACAUGUACUGAAGGUUUGCUGCCAAGGGCAAACCCAGAAGAAGAACCAAUAGAUUAGUUGCACCCGCGUCAUGGUUGAGCUGUGCAUCUUCAUGAAAAAAAGAACCACGGCAACAUUUUGCCAUUCUGUCCUUGCAGAUGAUUUUGGUUCUUUUCCAGGAUGAAAACACAGCCACUAUGAAUUUUAGAGGGGAUGUUACACGGUGUUAUGUGCCGUGUCACAACAAUACCUGCUGAUGUAAAAGUAGGCUACAUUGUAUUCAUAUCUCUGGAUGAGAUAUUCUUAUACAUUGUGCCAUAAAAAAAAAAAAAAACUCUAGAUGGGCUUGUAUAUUCUCCAUUGAUGAAGCGAUGGAUUGGACUCCGAUGUUGACUUCACGUCACGUCCGAGAUGAAUUCUCCUGCCCUGCGCCCAGCGCUACUGAGAUUGACCCUGCAUCCACGACGCCCUUGACUAGGAUGAAGCGGAUACUGAAGUGAAUGAAUGACUGAAUUAAUUCAUUACUUUCCCAAAAGAAACUCAAAUACAUUUAACCCAAUGUACUGUAAAAUUUGUGUAGAGUCUAAGAGUGAAAUCGAUAAGAUGUAAUCUCCUUAACACGCAUUCAGAAAAAUAAAUAAACAAAAUCAGGAAAAUAGACAAGCCUAUAUUGGCCAAUUUGCUCGAAUGGCAACUCGCUUAAGAUAAGUGCAGUCCUUAUGUGCAAUUGGUUAUUUACUGGUCAUUAAUAAGCCAGUAGCUUAGACACCUUUAUGUCUAGCAUUUCCACAUAAUUGGAUGGUAGAUGGUGUCUCAGUACUAAUACACAAUUACUGCUGAAUAAGGCAGACUAGAGACCGGAUUACUGUCUACUAGUGAAGUCUUCAGUAGCUAUGCAUGUGUUAACAGUUGUAGAUUUUGUACCUUAAUUACAACUCACUAACAAUAAUUGUUACUGGUUGUAAAGAGUACAACCCUACAACAACUUAUAUUAAUGAUCAAUGCAACAGAUUACACUAUACCAGUAUUGGCAAAGAGGCAAAUCCUCCGAGCCUAGUGCUGAGAAUAGCUGUUGCCAGUGGUUGUUAAGUAUUUAAGUUUGGAUGAGAUUGUUAUGGGGAAAUAUGUGACCUAUUUAUGUGUGUGUAUAUAUGUAUUUCUGAUAUAUACUGUAUGUAUUUAUAGAUUAGUCACUCCAUAAUAUCCAGUCCAGUCCAGCAGGUACCUCAUAUACUGUAAACUGUACAGUCAUUUAUGUUAAUAAUGUAAAUGAAAAACAGGAAAAUGUUUUGAUUGCGCUGAAUCAAUAUUGACCGGCAUCCUGUCCAGGGUGUACCCCGCCUUGUGCCCGAUGCUCCCUGGGAUAGGCUCCAGGUUCCCUGUGACCCUGGAAAGGAGUAAACGGUAGAAGAUGGAUGGAUGGAUGGAUGGAUGGAUUAAUUAAUAUUGAUUAUGUACAAUGACAAAACAUUCAAGCUAACAAUCUAUUGGUAUUUUUAUGCAUUUGACUUGGUUGUGUUACUUGGGGCCAUCACAUGAUUGACUCGUGAUAAUUGCGGGAAGGGUGCACUUUCGAUCUAAAAUAUAAAGUAUAUGCUCAUGAGCAUCUUUAUACCAUUCAUGUAAUCUAAGGAAAUCACAAACAUACAAAUUCUAACACCAGUUCCUUUAUUUAUGUGCAUGUCUGAAACGAGGUCUGCUGAUUCGAAUGUCAAUCUGAGUUACACAUAAAACUCCCGAAUUAUUUUGAACAUUUUCCUUGAAUGAAUUCAUGUGUUAAAUAAAUGAAUUAUUGUUCAGGAAUAAACAUUACGUUAACCCAUUUGUGUGCUUUGCUGUCCUCAUGCUGUUUAAUAUCACAUCAUAGAGCUAGUGUUGGUUUAGUAUGGGGGAAACAUUGGGAAUGGCCUCAUGAUUCCUACACAUGAGUCCUACACAGUAUUAAAAAUGCCCUAUUUUAGUAUUUCACUAUACGUAAACAUGUUUUAUUAAUGGGUGUAAUAGGUCAAAGCAAUAAUGGCAAUACUCGCAGAACUAAUUUUACAUUCAGUGAGAACAUAUCUCUAAGUUUCACUUUCCUUUACAUGGAAAUGCACUUGAGCACAUUUGAAAAGGUUGGGCAGUAAGAUAAUGUGGGGGUGGUUCCAGUGCUAGAGAGGAAAAGGAAAAGACUGUGUGUCUCUCUUCAUUUUGGAGGACCUGCCCUGGACGUUAUCUACAGUGUUCUGGCGAAACACGAGACUUGGUGUAAAUAAGCAGAUCUUCAUAACGAUAAUGGCAGUCGAGGAGGUGGAUGACGAAACCGACGACGAUGACAGACUAUGAGGAAGUUGGCUGGAGGUCUGCUGCCAAGGGUGGACCACAGGAGCUGAACCAAUAGAAGAACAGCGUACGUGUGCGAGAGCGACGUGUCGCUUGGUUGAGCUGUGCGUCCAUGUGAAACCUCGUUGGUGAAUUUCACAACGUAUGCACGUUACCCGUGAACUACUUUGCUUGCUGAAGAGCUUUAUUGCAUAUAGAAAUCUAUGGUAUGUUUACCACUACUACGUCUUUGAAUGAUCUUUUUCUUGUUGUUGUUGUUGUGUUGUGUGAUGUCACUAUGGAGUAAUACUAUAUACAUAAAUAUGUCUCACUGUAUUUCUGAAAAGUCAUGAUCACGUUCCUGAAGCCUAGACAAUGAAACAGAAUUAUUUCCGAGAUACAAGUACUUAUUUAUGACAAGUCAAGUGAAUACAGAACAUGAUGUAUAUGUGUAUCAUCACUGUAUAUGUGUAUUAUUCCUGCAUACAUAUUGUUUUUCCAUAUUUUACUUGGUUGUGUGACUGGGGCCAUGCCAGGCUGGUUGGUCUGAUUGGUGGAAGUGUGCACUUUAAAUCAGGAAGGAACCAUCACGUUCUUGAUGCGUAACCUUUCACUAAAUCUUCAUACACUCUACGAAACUCUCACAGCACAGAAGGGGAAUAAAUCCCUUCCUGUUUUAAAGUGCAUGCUUGGAAUGUAGUCUGUUGUUUUGAAUGCCAGUCUGGGUGGAGUCACACAGAAACACCCCACAUUCUUUCCAUUGUUUUUUUUUUUUUUUUAUUUCCUUUAAUCUGACCCCUUCAUUUAGAUUUGAACAGAACGGACGUGGAGGGUUACUGAAUAAACCGCAGCUUUCCUUGAAA